AAUAUUUAUUGAAUCUCUAUAUCAAGGGUGUCAAACUCAUUUUCACCGGGGGCCACAUCAGCCUCAUGGUUGCCUUCAAAAAGCCGAAUGUAGUUUUAGGUCUAUAUAAAUGUAGCUUUUCCUUAACAGUGAAGGGAGAGCUUGGUGCCACUGCCAGGUAGAAACAAGGUGCCAGGCCUGAUAAAACAAGGUGGAGGGCCGGAUUUGGCCCUUGAGCCUUGUGUUUGCCA